AUUGAACGCUGGCGGCAUGCCUUACACAUGCAAGUCGAACGGUAACGCGGGGCAACCUGGCGACGAGUGGCGAACGGGUGAGUAAUGCAUCGGAACGUGCCCAGUAGUGGGGGAUAGCCCGGCGAAAGCCGGAUUAAUACCGCAUACGACCUUCGGGUGAAAGGGGGGGAUCGCAAGACCUCUCGCUAUUGGAGCGGCCGAUGUCAGAUUAGGUCGUUGGUGGGGUAAAAGCCUACCAAGCCGACGAUCGGUAGCUGGUCUGGGAGGACGACCAGCCACACGGGGACUGAGACACGGCCCAGCCUCCUACGGGAGGCAGCAGUGGGGAAUUUUGGACAAUUGGCGCAAGCCUGAUCCAGCCAUGCCGCGUGCGGGAAGAAGGCCUUCGGGUUGUAAACCGCUUUUGUCAGGGAAGAAACGCUUCGAGCUAAUACCUCGGAGUAAUGACGGUACCUGAAGAAUAAGCACCGGCUAACUACGUGCCAGCCGCCGCCGUAA
rnacentral:rRNA from 1 species